rnacentral:rRNA from 1 species
CAAUUGGAGGAGAAUAACAGGAUUCUCUUAGUAACGGCGAGUGAACGGAGAUUAGCCCAUCACCGAAGUCUAUUUCCUCUUGUGGACCGGACGAUGUGUUGUUUAGGUGUGUAUCUGGAAGUGCUUGCCUACUCGAAGUCCAUCUCCGAUUAAGGCUAGGUCCAUGCCCAGAGCGUGUGAAAGGCCCGUUCGGGUAGGCUGUAUUGUUUUGAGGCGCUUCUCGGAUGUACAUACCUUCGAGUCGGAUUGCUUGAGAAUGCAGUCCAAAGUGGGUGGUAAACUCCAUCCAAGGCUAAAUACUGGCACGAGUCCGAUAGUAGACAAGUACCGUGAGGGAAAGUUGAAAAGUACUCUGAAGAG